rnacentral:rRNA from 1 species
AGUGAACGCUGGCGGUAGGCCUAACACAUGCAAGUCGAACGGCAGCACAGUAAGAGCUUGCUCUUACGGGUGGCGAGUGGCGGACGGGUGAGGAAUACAUCGGAAUCUACUUUUUCGUGGGGGAUAACGUAGGGAAACUUACGCUAAUACCGCAUACGACCUACGGGUGAAAGCAGGGGAUCUUCGGACCUUGCGCGAUUGAAUGAGCCGAUGUCGGAUUAGCUAGUUGGCGGGGUAAAGGCCCACCAAGGCGACGAUCCGUAGCUGGUCUGAGAGGAUGAUCCGCCACACUGGAACUGAGACACGGUCCCGACUCCUACGGGAGGCAGCAGUGGGGAAUAUUGGACAAUGGGCGCAAGCCUGAUCCAGCCAUACCGCGUGGGUGAAGAAGGCCUUCGGGUUGUAAAGCCCUUUUGUUGGGAAAGAAAAGCAGCAGGUUAAUACCCCGCUGUUCUGACGGUACCCAAAGAAUAAGCACCGGCUAACUUCGUG